UAAUUCAGUCCUCAAGGCAUGGCUUCUCAAUGCCUUCUCCGGAGUCACCCCAUUGCCUCUCUCUGGUUUACUCUCCUAGCUUGUGUUCGUUUGCAGGCGUCUCUCAUUUCCGCCAGCUGUGCAUCCUCCGAGUCCGGCCCGGCCUCCGCACCCAGCUGCAUCUCAUCCUGAGCACGAACGGAAGGGACAGGUUCCUCACUGGAAUUGCAGGAGGCAGCACCAGAGAACCUCGUGGUCACCAAGGAUCAAACUGAUUUUUGUUAUUCUCCCUACUCUACAUUCCAUUCAUAAGCUUCUACACAUGGUCAGUUCAUCCAGUUAUUUAGUUUAGCGGAGAUGGGACAGGAACACACUUGUGAUCUAAAUUUAGAACGGCUUGACAUAUUUUUGAUGCUCGGACUGUGGAAAAAAGGAAUAGGUGAAAGAAGACAGAGUUGAAACCAAAACUGCGCUUUAAAAGGAUGGUGUCUUGCAAAUGCUAAAGCCAUAGAGAAAGCAUUAGUCCAGAUAAGGUAUGCUUGUACUAGGUGUGAUACAAAAUGAUUCAUGAACGCUUGUGUGCCAGUCUACUUCACUGGGACCUUCAAGCAGCUAAAAACCAUGGUAAUGAGGUUAUGAAAUUGGAAGAAGGCCAUGAAGCCCAGCCUCCUGCUUGCUGUAGAAAUCCAAUGCAAGCAUCUGAGUCAGAGCAGCCCAACCUCCACUUGAAUACACCCAGUAAAAAGGAACCAGACACCUCUCUUCUUCUGCUGGAAGUCCAAAUCCAAUGACACUGGUUCUUCAGGUUUUUCUUGAUCUACGGCCCAUGAAGGCACUAUGAUUAUAAUCAAGAAGGAUUAACUCUAUGUCCCCUCUUUGUCUAUUGUUCUGCCUAUUUUUGUCUAAGAAAUUUCUAAUCUAAGGUCAUUUAUUUCUGCCUUUUGUCUCAAACACAUAUACACAGAGUACAUGUUCUUGGACUCCUUUUCUGACAAAAUGUAGUUAGGUGGGGUUAGACUCUGUUUACAAUAAAAAAUAAUCUCCUUUCUGUUAUGAUAUAAAAUAUGAUUCAUAAAUUAUUGCUAAAGAGAGAAACUCUGGGGAACACUUACAAUCACACACUGAAAGAUUCAGCUUCCAACAAAAUUGUUCUUACUAUUCCUAACCUUCUAUCACACUUUGCCUCCAUAUAAUUUAAAUACAUUAUUUUGUUUUCUGCACUCUACAACAAAAAAGAACAAAAUUUGACCUUUAUCUCUGUGACUAUCAUUCAGGUAUUGGAAGAAUAUGUUAUUAUAUCUCCCCUCAGUUAUUUUUUUUUUAAGGUUAAACAUAGCCAGCUCCUUCCAUUUCUUUCACAGUUUCUAGUUAUCUAAUCAUUCAGCUGCCUUUUUCUGAACUUGUUCCAAUUUCUCUG